GGGCGGUUAGCUCAGUUGGUAGAGCGCGUCGUUGACGUCGAUGAGGUCAGAGGUUCGAACCCUCUACCGCCCACAA
rnacentral:tRNA from 1 species